rnacentral:rRNA from 1 species
UACGGGGGGGGCAAGCGUUGUUCGGAAUUACUGGGCGUAAAGAGCUCGUAGGCGGCUCGGUAAGUCGGGUGUGAAAUUUCGAGGCUCAACCUCGAAACGCCACCCGAUACUGCUGUGGCUAGAGUCCGGUAGGGGAGCGUGGAAUUCCUGGUGUAGCGGUGAAAUGCGCAGAUAUCAGGAGGAACACCAGCGGCGAAGGCGGCGCUCUGGGCCGGUACUGACGCUGAGGAGCGAAAGCGUGGGGAGCGAACAGG